UGCUCCUUUCAUAGGUAGGGAAAAGUAGGAUAGUAAAAAGGGGCCCAUAGAUGGCCUGCGUGUCCUCACAAAUCUUUGUAUGGAAAAGGCCCAGAGACCCCUAUCCUUUUAAGCAAUGGGCUGUAUCGCUACAUGGUAGGGUGGCUAUAAAAUUUAUUGUCCAAACGGAGACACUUUUGAAAGUGAAAGGGAGCACUAUUAAUAAUUACACCUGGACAACAGGCAUAAACCACAACUGUCCUGGGCAAACUGGGACGUAUGGUCAUCCUAUUACACCGAGACAGUGCAAUGAUGUAUGGAUGGGAUCUUUCAAGCCUAGAAUGUAACUUUGGGAUUUUUCUGAGCUAAAGUACCUUGUGUUCUUUAUGUGUAAGUUCUGUCCUCAGAGCUGUUCUGUCCCUACAUGGCUUUGUAGGGAAACAAACUCAUUUUUCCCCCAUUUUGAAAGAAAUAUAAGCCAUCAUCUAUCUUAGAUGCUGUUUAGAAGUAGAGGAUAAUUGGAAGAUGGGAUGCAGUGCAGCAUCGGCAGCUAUCUUCUCUCCAUGGGCUGGUGCUCUCUUGAUAAUUGAUGAUGAGAUGGAAGCACAGAGGCAUUUACAGUUAAUCCACAGAUUCGUGAAGCUGCAAUUUUUAAAAAUUUCCUUACUUCAUGACUAUAUGAAACAUAGAGGAAUGAAUGGUAACCUUUGUCAUAUUAAAAUAUCACUGUCAUAUGAGAGGAUUUCUUCAGAAUCUGCUGGUCUUUGAAUAUCCAUUCAUAUUUAAGGGUGAGGUACUAAAAAGAAGCCAGGACACUUCUUCAAGGAGCUAAGCAUACACAACUGGCCCAGAAAUCAGAGAAACUGAGGGAGAAUCGAGAGGUACAAGGGCCAGCUUCAGGCUCCACCAUUGCCUCAUGCCACCAGGAUGCGAUCUUCAGAGAAGCACAGGAUGGCUUUAGGUGUACCUCAUCACCACUAGGAAGAUAGCUGUGCCUGCCUUUGCUGUAAAUGCGUCCCUGUUUAUGACUGGAGCAUGGCUUCAGAGAAGAGAAGAUGAGCUACAGAGACAGUGGAAAGAAACUCUCUCGCUGAGAAAGAAGAUAGUCCACCAGCAGGAACACAGGCAUUGAAAGUGAGCUACAGAAAUAAAGUGCCCAUUCUGAGGAACAACGGAAUGAACCGAAUGCAUAAAACAAGUUAUAUGGACAGGCCAAACGUCAGGUCCUCCUCUGAGAAUGGAGUUAAUAAUGGAACUUGGUCUUAGGAUGCCUGAGGUUGCAUAUAUAUCAGACACACAAAAGAUACAAAAUUCAAUCUGUGCUUGAAGGGAGCUUCUCAUGGGAGAUGGAAGAAGAGCAAGAUUUGGCCACAAGAUAUAUCUGUGCGAGAUUUGGAAGGUGAAAAUAAAGCCGUAAUUGUGUUCACUCUGGGAAACUUGAUCAAGUCUGGCUCUUCUGCAGCUCAUCAAAGUUUCUACAGUGCCAGAGUCCGUUAGUUGCCAGGACCUGCUUGAAGUAGUAAGAUGAGAAUGAACGUGGCACCUGUUGGGCACAGCGGAGAAGAGAGCUAGGAUCCAUUUGCAGUGUCCACCAUCAUUCUAAGUUCACCACAGAAUUCCCCCAGAGACCAGUACCUUGCUUGACACAAAGGAGAAACUCUAUAAAUGUGAUAGAUGGAUAAAAGAAGAAAAAAGUCUCAAUAUUAUCAAUUGGAAAUUUAUCAAUCAACAUCAGUUUUUCUUAUUACUGUUCGUGAUGUGAUGAUUGUCUUCUAUACUUCCAGAAACAGGCCUUUUCCUGUUGAAUUGAGGAGAGCCACUUUGUGUUUUAUUUGGAGCAAUAUAAAAGACUUUGAAGAUUUUCAACUGAUGGAAGACACAGGAGAUUACAAACUUUGUCUAUUGUGCCUCCUACUGAAUUGAAUGUCCAGAAGAGAGCCAGGAUCUAAUAGACAUGAAUAUUUCGGGAAGAGAAAGGAGAGGAGAAAGAAAGUACCCAUUGUGAUUUGUUUUUCAGCCCUACAAUCUUCAAGAAGGGUCCUAGUCCUCAAAGACUAUUUAAG
ensembl:lncRNA